rnacentral:lncRNA from 1 species
CAGCCUUGGAUUAGAGAUAAGAGGCACAUGUUGAGGAAGGUGGAGUCUCCCCCACAACCCUGGACCAGGCUCCAGUGCCAAUAAAAGCCAAGAAGAACCUCCGGGGCAAUCAGUCUCUCUGCUGAGGGAGUGCAUUUUGCUUCCAGCACAGUGCUCAACUCACACAGUUCCCAUGGAAA